GACGAACGCUGGCGGCGUGCUUAACACAUGCAAGUCGAACGGAAAGGCCUGCUUUCCCUUGUGGUUUGCGGGUACUCGAGUGGCGAACGGGUGAGUAACACGUGAGUGAUCUGCCCCCAACUUGGGUAUAAGCCUGGGAAACUGGGUCUAAUUCCCGAUAGGACUGCAGGGUGGUGCCUGUGGUGGAAAACGAUUUUCUAGUGGUUGGGGAUGAGCUCGCGGCCUAUCAGCUUGUUGGUGGGGUAAUGGCCUACCAAGGCGGCGACGGGUCGCCGGCCUGGGAGGGUGGACGGCGACAUUGGGACUGAGAUACGGCACAGACUCCUACGGGAGGCAGCAGUGGGGAAGAUUGCACAAUGAGCGGAAGCCUGAUGCAGCGACGCCGCGUGGGAGAUGACGGCCUUCGGGUUGUAAACUCCUUUCGACCGCGAGGAAGCCACCUGGUUGGAAGGGUGGUGACGGUAGUGGUAGAAGAAGCACCGGCUAACUACGUG
rnacentral:rRNA from 1 species